rnacentral:hammerhead_ribozyme from 1 species
CUCCGGGACGAGUCCCAAAUAGAACGAAACGCGCGUCCUGGAU